rnacentral:rRNA from 1 species
GAUGAACGCUGGCGGCGUGCCUAAUACAUGCAAGUCGAGCGAACAGACCAUGCGCUUGCUCCUCUGACGUUUGCGGCGGGCGGGUGAGUAACACGUGUAUCCCCUCCCUAUCAUACGGGGAACACUACGGGACACCGGAUCUUAUCCCGGAUAAGCUAUUGAUCCGCGUGGUUCGAUAGUGAAAUUCGGUUUUUCUGUCACGUAUCGCUGCAUCCGCGCCGCAUUGUCUAGUUGGUAAGGUAACGGCUUUCCAAGGCAACGAUGCGUAGCCGAGCUGAGAGGGUGGUCGGCCACACUGGAACGGAGACACGGUCCAGACUCCUACGGGAGGCAGCAGUAGGGAAUCGUACGCAAUGGGCGGAAGCCUGACGGAGCAGGGCCGCGUGAGUGAUGAAGGUGCUCGGAUCGGAAUACUCUGUUAUUAGGGAAGAACAAAUGUGUAAGGAACUAUGCACGUCUUGACGGUAACGAAUCAGAAAGCAACGGCUAACUACGUG